rnacentral:rRNA from 1 species
GAUGAACGCUGGCGGCGUGCCUAAUACAUGCAAGUCGAGCGAAUGGAUUAAGAGCUUGCUCUUAUGAAGUUAGCGGCGGACGGGUGAGUAACACGUGGGUAACCUGCCCAUAAGACUGGGAUAACUCCGGGAAACCGGGGCUAAUACCGGAUAACAUUUUGAACCGCAUGGUUCGAAAUUGAAAGGCGGCUUCGGCUGUCACUUAUGGAUGGACCCGCGUCGCAUUAGCUAGUUGGUGAGGUAACGGCUCACCAAGGCAACGAUGCGUAGCCGACCUGAGAGGGUGAUCGGCCACACUGGGACUGAGACACGGCCCAGAACCCUACGGGAGGCAGCAGUAGGGGAUCUUCCGCAAUGGCCGAAAGGCUGACGGAGCAACGCCGCGUGAGGGAUGAAGGCUUUCGGGUCGUAAAACUCUGUUGUUAGGGAAGAACAAGUGCUAGUUGAAUAAGCUGGCACCUUGACGGUACCUAACCAGAAAGCCACGGCUAACUACGUG